rnacentral:misc_RNA from 1 species
GAAAUGCGAUAAUUAAUGUGAAUUGCAGAAUUCAGUGAAUCAUCGAGUCUUUGAACGCACAUUGCGCCCCCUGGUAUUCCGGGGGGCAUGCCUGUCCGAGCGUCAUUGCUGCCCUCAAGCACGGCUUGUGUGUUGGGCUUCCGUCCCUGGCAACGGGGACGGGCCCAAUAGGCAGUGGCGGCACCAUGUCUGGUCCUCGAGCGUAUGGGGCUUUGUCACCCGCUCCCGUAGGUCCAGCUGGCAGCUAGCCUCGCAACCAAUCUUUUUAACCAGGUUGACCUCGGAUCAGGUAGGGAUACCCGCUGAACUUAAGC